CAGUAGCCGCGGUAAUACGUAGGUGGCAAGCGUUGUCCGGAUUUAUUGGGCGUAAAGCGAGCGCAGGCGGUUCCUUAAGUCUGAUGUGAAAGCCCCCGGCUCAACCGGGGAGGGUCAUUGGAAACUGGGGAACUUGAGUGCAGAAGAGGAGAGUGGAAUUCCAUGUGUAGCGGUGAAACGCGUAGAUAUAUGGAGGAACACCAGUGGCGAAGGCGACUCUCUGGUCUGUAACUGACGCUGAGGCUCGAAAGCGUGGGUAGCAAACAGGAUUAGAUACCCGUGUAGUCCCUGUCUCUUAUAC
rnacentral:rRNA from 1 species